rnacentral:sRNA from 1 species
UGUUGUAUAUGUAUUGUGGCAUGCCUU